rnacentral:lncRNA from 1 species
CUGUCAUUCAUGUCUCUAUGGUGAUGGAUUGUGUUACUUCUCCAACUGUGGCCCAGAAUCAACCCUGACUUCCUGAAGUUGAUUUUGUCAUUUUACUGAUAAAGCCCAGAAGGACGCAUGAAGGCAGUGACAUUCCCGUGGUAAUCCCCAUUGAUCCCACGUGUGAAACUCUCUCAGUAACCACACGGCGUUAACGGACUCUCUGAGGAAGUCAACAGGAAGCAAUGUGUUGCUGUCAUGAUAUUAAAUAUUUCAAUUAUGAAGACAGCAAAAUUUUAAAUCACUGUGAAGAACAACUGUGGAAUGUGUUAAAGCUCUUCUGCAUGUCCCCUGGCCCCACUGACUAAUUCUUAAAUAAACAAAUGUGCUUCUUUAUUUUCUCCCCAUCCCAUAAUAAAAUUCAUUAUUUAGCCUCGAUAAGUACAUUAUUCAACCAUCAUCAGAGAAGAUUAUUUCCUCCAGCAUGUGGAAAUAAAGAGGCCAACAGCCAGACAUUUUGUGCAGAGAGAGAAAGAGGCAGAGACACAGAGACACAGAGAGAGACAGAGAGAGAGACAGAGGAGAGACCUUGGACAGCACAGCUCUAAAUGGGAUGCCUCCAUCAAAUUCCUCCCGUCAGAGCCCAGAGAACCCCAUGGAAGAAGAAACAGGAAGAGUAUUUAAACCAGAGGGCAGAGAAGACAUCAGAAGAUUGUCUUCGUAAUUCAGCUUAGCAAAGAUCAUAUAAAUUAAGAGACUGAAGCAGCAACCAAUUAUACUCUGGUCCUUGCUUCUGGGGCAGACACCUAGUUGGUCUGCUCCCAUGAAGACUCCAUAUCUCAACCCAUCCUAGAGGACGCCCUACACUCAGAGCAGUUGUGAUCUACAGUGUGGAAUCAAAGGAAGCAUCCUGCUUAGCCUCCUUUCUCCAAUCGACAGAGCUAAGAAGCCCAGUGUAGAAACUUGAAUUUUCCAAUUUUGUUUGGAAGGACUUUUCUGUGUUCUCUGUAUUACUAGACUGCUCCAAAUGCUCCAAACUUUCAGACAAAAUAUCCCUAUAUUAAAUAAAUCAUCCAAUGUGAGGGUACCCUGAUAAAUGGAAGAAUUACUAUUUUAUGAUGCUUAGUUGCUUUCCAAGAGCAAAUUGGAGCAUGUAGAAAUGAAAAACAAACGAAUAAACAAAGAAACCAACAAAGAAAUUUUGGAUUCUGA